rnacentral:rRNA from 2 species
AAAUUGAAGAGUUUGAUCAUGGCUCAGAUUGAACGCUGGCGGCAGGCCUAACACAUGCAAGUCGAGCGGUAGCACAGA